GUCGACAUGUAUUUAAUGUUUGAAAAUCUGUGCAUUUCAGUAAGCACUUUCAGCUAUCUUAGAAAUUACAUUGAUCAAAUGAUCAGUUUUCCUCUUCAGCUCUGUUCUCAAGAUGUCCUUGCUAAGAAGGGGACUGUGAGUGGCGCAGCACUGUCUGGACAUCAACAAUGCAUCUCUUAGUAGAUACAGAACUGAAUACACCAUAGACUGGAAAUCAUUCUAAAACAAUUUGGUUUUGAAUCUAAAAGAAGUCUUGGCUCAAGCUCAUACAUUGGGACAUAAACUGUUUUAAUUUCUGUAAUACAUUAACAUUGUGGCUGUUCAGUAGAAGCUGGAAAAUUUACAGUUAUACUUCAUUAAUAUAUCUGCUUAUUUUUCUCUAGCAAGUGAGAUUUAAACAAUGUAAUACAAAGAUUAAAGUGUUGAAUGGCCAAAAUUCACAGAAUAGCCAGGGUUGGAAGGAACCUCAAGGAUUAUGAAUCUCCAACCCCCCUGCAUCCACAGCCUUUCUGGGCAGCCUGGAUUCAUCCCUUCAACUGGUUAGGAGAAUGUAAAGCUAUGAAGUUUGAGUGCCCAAGAUCCAAAAUUGUAAGUUCUGUCUGAAGAGGUUACUGUUUUUAUUAAGGCAUUUAGAGAUUGUGUUCUUUCCCCCAUAAGCCUUAGGUGUACCCCAUCUAGCUGCUUCUGCCUUAGAGUGACCAGCUGACAUCUUCCUAUAACAAGGAAGAAAAAAGAAAAAAAACAUCCAAACAUGAAAACACUUUUUGGGACUGAAAGUUCAGCAUAGUAAGUGUGAAAAUGGAGCCAUUAAUGAGUAUUUAAGCCAGGAGUGUUACUAGUUAACCGCUUGUUAAACAGUGCUAACUGUGAACUUGUAGUACAUGCCCUGGCCUAAAAAUGCAGAAGACCAAAAGCAGCUGGUAAGCUAAGCUGAUUUCACAGAGCAGCUGCUAAGCAAGAACUGCAAAAAGGAAGCAUUGGGCUCCUGGGAAGAGGUAGUAGGUUGCAUAGUUCUAGGGCAGGGAUUUUGCUCACAAGGAGGUAACUGUACAACCUGCUGCCUUUCUUAGGGCUUUAUUAUAACACCAUUUUGGCUCCAUCUCUGCAGCUUUGGUAUGUGAAGAGAAAUGAAGCUGUUUCUAAGCACAUUGAGGUUUAAUGAAACUGGUGUCUCAGCCAAUCUGUGCAGACUUGAGCAUAGUACUAUUAACUGGAAUUCAGUAUUGUGAAAUGCUGCAUUUCAAGGCACACGUGUCAUUUUGUUGACAUCAGUGUUGUGAUAACUUACAAAGAAAAUACUGAAAACAAAUUCCAAGACUAAGAUCAAAUUCCCUACAAUUAGGAUGGAGGUGUUGCAUACUUCUGAACAUUCAGUUAAGUACUAAUGCUAUGUACUUGCAAACAGGCAGCUAUAACACACCUUCCUUUGGCUUUGUGGAGUUUCCAAGGAUCAACUUACGACUCACCUGAACGCUGGUAGGCUCCUGCAAGCAGGAUAGGCUCUCCCAAUAAAUCAUGCUGUGUCAUGGAAUACUUGCAGUCCUACAGGAAUGUCUUCAAAGUGAAUGACUGCAUAUCUGCUAUGGAGUUGUAUGUUGAGAAGUAGAUGGUAACUUUUUCAUGUCAUGACAGUGCAGUACCACCAUUGUUCUGGAGGACUUCAUCCAGAUGUGCUCUGCUGUGGGCUACAGAAACCCUUAACUGCUGAUCAUCCUGUAAGAUUAAUGGCUUAUGCUUACAGUAGCCAGUUUUUAAAGUUAUGGCAAGACAGAAUCCUAGAUAUUAUAAACAUAUUGAGUAUGCUAAUGGAAAUUGUCUAUUCUUCAAAGCGUACACACUUGAUUUACUCAAUAAAGGAACUUUAUGGAA